rnacentral:rRNA from 2 species
CCAACCCCUGGCGGCGUGCCUAAUACAUGCAAGUCGAGCGGACCAAGGGAGCUUGCUCCUGGAGGUUAGCGGCGAACGGGUGAGUAACACGUGGGCAACCUGCCUGUAAGACUGGGAUAACAUCGAGAAAUCGGUGCUAAUACCGGAUAAUAAAAAGAACUGCAUGGUUCUUUUUUGAAAGAUGGUUUCGGCUAUCACUUACAGAUGGGCCCGSGGCGCAUUAGCUAGUUGGUGGGGUAACGGCUCACCAAGGCGACGAUGCGUAGCCGACCUGAGAGGGUGAUCGGCCACACUGGGACUGAGACACGGCCCAGACUCCUACGGGAGGCAGCAGUAGGGAAUCUUCCGCAAUGGACGAAAGUCUGACGGAGCAACGCCGCGUGAGUGAUGAAGGUUUUCGGAUCGUAAAACUCUGUUGUUAGGGAAGAACAAGUGCCGUUCGAAAGGGCGGCACCUUGACGGUACCUAACGAGAAAGCCACGGCUAACUACGUGCCAGCAGCCGCGGUAAUACGUAGGUGGCAAGCGUUGUCCGGAAUUAUUGGGCGUAAAGCGCGCGCAGGCGGUCUCUUAAGUCUGAUGUGAAAGCCCCCGGCUCAACCGGGGAGGGUCAUUGGAAACUGGGAGACUUGAGUACAGAAGAGGAGAGUGGAAUUCCACGUGUAGCGGUGAAAUGCGUAGAGAUGUGGAGGAACACCAGUGGCGAAGGCGACUCUCUGGUCUGUAACUGACGCUGAGGCGCGAAAGCGUGGGGAGCAAACAGGAUUAGAUACCCUGGUAGUCCACGCCGUAAACGAUGAGUGCUAGGUGUUAGGGGUUUCGACGCCCUUAGUGCCGAAGUUAACACAUUAAGCACUCCGCCUGGGGAGUACGACCGCAGGUUGAAACUCAAAGGAAUUGACGGGGGCCCGCACAAGCAGUGGAACAUGUGGUUAAAUUCGAGCAACGCGAAAACCUUACCAGUCUUGACAUCCUUUGACCCCCUAGAGAUAGGGCUUUCCCUUUCGGGGGAAAAAGUGAA